AGAGUUUGAUCCUGGCUCAGAAUCAACGCUGGCGGCGUGCCUCAGACAUGCAAGUCGAACGUGAAAGUUUCCUUCGGGAGACGAGUAAAGUGGCGCACGGGUGAGUAACACGUGGGUAAUUUGCCUUCGGGUAGGGAAUACCGGUCGGAAACGACCGUUAAUACCGCAUAAUGCAGCGGCAUCUAUGAUGACAGUUGUUAAAGCGGGGGAUCGCGCAAGCGACCUUGUGCCUGAAGAGAAGCCUGCGGCAGAUUAGGUAGUUGGUAAGGUAAUGGCUUACCAAGCCUGCGAUCUGUAACCGGCCUGAGAGGGCGGUCGGUCACACUGACACUGACAUACGGGUCAGACUCCUACGGGAGGCAGCAGUCGGGAAUUUUGGGCAAUGGGCGAAAGCCUGACCCAGCAACGCCGCGUGAAGGAUGAAGCAUUUCGGUGUGUAAACUUCGCAAGAAUAGGAAGAAUAAGUAAACGCGAAUACCGUUAUGAU
rnacentral:rRNA from 1 species